UACGGAGGGGGCUAGCGUUGUUCGGAAUUACUGGGCGUAAAGCGCACGUAGGCGGCUUUGUAAGUUAGAGGUGAAAGCCCGGGGCUCAACUCCGGAAUUGCCUUUAAGACUGCAUCGCUAGAAUUGUGGAGAGGUAAGUGGAAUUCCGAGUGUAGAGGUGAAAUUCGUAGAUAUUCGGAAGAACACCAGUGGCGAAGGCGACUUACUGGACACAUAUUGACGCUGAGGUGCGAAAGCGUGGGGAGCAAACAGGAU
rnacentral:rRNA from 1 species